GUAAGGAAUAUUGGUCAAUGGGGGCAACCCUGAACCAGCCAUGCCGCGUGAAGGAUGAAGGCGUUAUGCGUUGUAAACUUCUUUUGUAUGGGAAGAAUGACAGGGAUUUAUCCUUGGAGAGACGGUACCAUACGAAUAAGCACCGGCUAACUCCGUGCCAGCAGCCGCGGUAAUACGGAGGGUGCAAGCGUUAUCCGGAUUCACUGGGUUUAAAGGGUGCGUAGGCGGAUAAAUAAGUCAGUGGUGAAAUCAACGGGCUCAACCUGUUAACUGCCAUUGAUACUGUGUAUCUUGAAUAUGAGAGAGGUAGGCGGAAUGUUGCAUGUAGCGGUGAAAUGCUUAGAUAUGCUACGGAACACCGAUUGCGAAGGCAGCUUACUAUUUCGUAAUUGACGCUGAGGCACGAAAGCGUGGGUAGCGAACAGGAUUAGAAACCCGAGUAGUCC
rnacentral:rRNA from 1 species